UAGGGAAUCUUCCACAAUGGACGCAAGUCUGAUGGAGCAACGCCGCGUGAGUGAAGAAGGUUUUCGGAUCGUAAAGCUCUGUUGUUGGUGAAGAAGGACAUGGGUAGUAACUGAUUUAUGUUUGACGGUAAUCAACCAGAAAGUCACGGCUAACUACGUGCCAGCAGCCGCGGUAAUACGUAGGUGGCAAGCGUUGUCCGGAUUUAUUGGGCGUAAAGCGAACGCAGGCGGGAGAACAAGUCAGCUGUGAAAGCCCUCGGCUUAACCGAGGAACGGCAACUGAAACUGUUUUUCUUGAGUGCAGAAGAGGAGAGUGGAACUCCAUGUGUAGCGGUGAAAUGCGUAGAUAUAUGGAAGAACACCAGUGGCGAAGGCGGCUCUCUGGUCUGUAACUGACGCUGAGGUUCGAAAGCAUGGGUAGCGAACAGG
rnacentral:rRNA from 1 species